GUAUUUUAGGAUUGUACAGUGGUUUGGGACCUACCUUACUACGUGCCUUUCCUGCCAAUGCAGCCUUGUUUUUAGGAGUGGAAACAGCGAAAAAAUUCUUUGAUGAUGUUCUAUGGAAACCUUAACCAAC
rnacentral:ribozyme from 1 species